rnacentral:lncRNA from 1 species
AACAAUGGAAAAUAAUUAUCAUAAUUAGGUAGGAAGUGAUCAAUUCGUGUGUCGUACCCUCCAUCUUUCCUCAUAUACAUCUAUCUUCUCCCUCUAUAUAUAUUAUCUCGCAUUCUACAGGCAGCAAAACACCCAUAAACGUAUUCAACUUGCAGCCGAAAUGGGGGAGUGCUCGAAGCGCGUCCACACGCUGUUGCUUUUUGUUCUUCUCCUAUGUUUUGCUAUUCAUGGGCAGUGUAAGUGACACUACGGGAUGCAACAUAUUAUUCUUCUCGUGUCCUUCAUUUGGUUCUUCAUGUAUGUUUCAUCACUUUACUGAUUUGUACUGAAUAUUAAUUGUGUAAUAUGUAUCAAUAUAUCUAAAGGUGGACGCUUAGGCAUGGAGAAGGAUCAUCCUGGGUGCUACAGGAGUAGCACUUUUCCACCCUGCAAUCCUGACAAAAAUAGAUGCUAUUGUUGUUUAUACAAUUGGACUUGCUACAAGUCCUUUACUGAAUGCGGGCCUGCUUGCCAUCCUCCCUCCUCUCCUUCAUCUGUACUGCCAUAAAAUUAGAAUCUUGUACCGAAUUGGAAAGAUGGAUGAAUAAGACGAUGAAUUAACAAGUUUUCAUCUUUAUAGUCGGCCAUUUCCUUUUUUCGCAGAACUUAUGUCCCCUAUGCAAUAACAUGGUUUGCUAGAAAUGUUCUAGUGAUAACGAAUAAAAGAUGACUAAAGUUAGUCAAACAACCUGGAUUUCUAGUUCAUUUCAUUGAUAAAGAUGAACAAAAGUCACUGUAAGACUUAACAUACAAGCACAUGUAUAGAAAUUAUUUCCUGUACAUGAUACAUACAUGGAGCUUAACUAUUUCCACUUUUAAUUAAUAUAGCAAAUCAUGAAUUUAGCUGGUGCAGUUCGGGUAGAGGUGUUUCGGCUCUCGGGUGCAUUUGCACCCGGAUGAACCGUAACAUAAAAAUAACACUAAAUGUUUUAAAAAAUUGUUUUUUUCUGGAUGUUCGUGUUACUGUCGCGAGCAUGCUUGACAACUUUCAUGCGAAUCGGAAGAGUGGUGUUUCGUUUUGAUGUGACAUUUUGGGGUAACAAAAUUGACGUUCAAUUUGUUAUUUUUUUGCAUAGACCAAAAUGCUUAAUCUUUUUGCCUAAAAAUUUUCAGGUAGCAUUUCAAUGUGAC